rfam:Ixodes scapularis strain Wikel colony gcontig_1108379832256, whole genome shotgun sequence.
UCCCGGUUAGAUAAGUUGGUAGAGGACUCCACUAGAAAUGGAGAGGUCCCUGGUUCGAUACCAGGACCAGGCA